rnacentral:rRNA from 2 species
UAAUACAUGCAAGUCGUACGCACUGGCCCAACUGAUUGAUGGUGCUUGCACCUGAUUGACGAUGGAUCACCAGUGAGUGGCGGACGGGUGAGUAACACGUAGGUAACCUGCCCCGGAGCGGGGGAUAACAUUUGGAAACAGAUGCUAAUACCGCAUAACAACAAAAGCCACAUGGCUUUUGUUUGAAAGAUGGCUUUGGCUAUCACUCUGGGAUGGACCUGCGGUGCAUUAGCUAGUUGGUAAGGUAACGGCUUACCAAGGCGAUGAUGCAUAGCCGAGUUGAGAGACUGAUCGGCCACAAUGGAACUGAGACACGGUCCAUACUCCUACGGGAGGCAGCAGUAGGGAAUCUUCCACAAUGGGCGCAAGCCUGAUGGAGCAACACCGCGUGAGUGAAGAAGGGUUUCGGCUCGUAAAGCUCUGUUGUUGGAGAAGAACGUGCGUGAGAGUAACUGUUCACGCAGUGACGGUAUCCAACCAGAAAGUCACGGCUAACUACGUGCCACAGCCGCGGUAAUAC